CUUAGCAGGGCUGUGCUUUAUGCGUUGCUGGCAGGGUUGCUGUCAGCGCUGGCCUCGGCGCUGGAAUCCCCGCUCCCGGUGGCUUCAAUGAGGAGCCAAGAGGACCCGGACAUUUGAAAAUGUGGUAAAGAAUCUAGAGCAGGGAGUAUUCGCCGGGGAGGACGCAGAGAAGAUUCAGAAAAAUCCCUAACAGCAUUCCUCUUUCUCUCCCGCCUCUCAAAACACCUACAAAAUAACUUCUGUCAUUAACUUUUGCUUCUCUUUCUCUCUCUGUCGACCAACAAGUAUAAUUUUGAAUCUGUCUGUGAUAACAGACUAGAGUAGGGUAAAAAUAGCUAAUGUUUAACUCAGGCACAAAAUGAAAAACCUCCAGCUCCAACCAGGGUAAAUGUUAACGUUAGGGUUUAAUACUUCGGAAAAUCUGGAGGAGAUUCCGGCAUUGAUCAGGAAGAGACUUGUCGAUCUAUGGCUGUUUCAACGCAUUCAAGAUGUGACUCUGAGUCUCGAGUGUCCGCUUAAGGUGGUUGUUUGGUGGUGGUUUCAGGAACCGAGACGGCAGCUCAACCUUUCUGAUGCAGGGUAAAAGCCUCAGGCUCUGUAAACUUAAUCCCCAGCACACUCUGUUUCGUGGGCAGUGGGAGAGCACUGGCUGGCUACCUGCCCCUGAAGUGAACGGCCUGUAAAAUCAAAGAACAGGAACCAACAGAAUGUGGCACCAGGACCAUGAGAACUUGCAGAAGCAGGCUCAGUGCGCAAGGCUGGCUGCUCCUGCUGCUUCUGCCAUGCGGGCUGGGACACCCUUUACCUCAUCCAUGUUGCAGCGCCAACUAAAUAGUGCUCUGUAAAUGUUUUCAAAGAAGUUAGUGAGUUUAAACAACGUCAGUGGACCGGGAGAGAGACGGCUGCCUCAUAGACUCUGCCAUGAACUGCCCCCCCGCCUUUUUUGGCUCACUCUUCCAUCUUGUAUCUCGGACCUUCCUUAUGUUUGAUUUGAAACAUAUCCAGGAGUUCCCUGGCAGCCUAGCGGUCAAGGAUUCAGUGAUGUCACUGUUGUGAGUCUGAUCCCUGGCCCAGGAAGGUCCACAUGCUGUGUGCAUGGCUACAAACAAAGAAGAGCAACAAGCAUGUCCUUCAGUGGAGACUCCACCUAAGAUAAGCUCAGCGUUUGUUUCAUCUCUACUCCCAAGUAACAGCUAAGUGGUGUCUUGCCCUGGCCACAGAACACCUGCCCAAUUGCAGGUGUGAGGAUGGAGGUACCACAACCAUCACCACACCUCUUGAAAAACUCUCCCAAGUAUGGGUCACUUUGGAUUCUCUGUCUACAUAAGCUGACCAUUCACCUGGGACCCUGGGUCUCCUCCUGGGAACGUCGGUCUGUCAUGUUUUCUAAAUUGUCUCUGCUAGCCAUGUGCUUUAGACAGCAUGCCUUGCAUGUGCUUUCGAUGUCCGUGUUCAUGAGAGAUGUUGUAAGGGCUUACAACCGAGUUUUCAGAUAAGUCACUACAAACUAUUUGUAGUGGUUUAUAUAUAUACAUAUUUUACAAACAAAACACAGACAUAGAAGAUAAGCUGCCAAAAUAUUCAUUUGGGCUAAUAAUCCUGAUAUUUACCUGCAAGCUUGCCUCAGCUCUUAGUCCUUAAAAUAGAGAUAAGACCUCCUCGACCUCUGAGUUUUUAUUUUCAUAAUAACGUCAUAGGUCAUCAUUUCCAGGAUUGCUGUUGUGAUGAGUGUCCGGUUCUUAUUCUCUCACCAAUGCAUUUAAAGUAACUAUGCAAACUCUACAAUAAAACUCGGCCACUUGAAAGGUACAGUCUCAAAACGCAUAUUCUCGAUAUUUUAGUAAUAGGACAGAAUUCUCAUUUCAGUCCUCUAUGUGCGUGGCAACAAGGUGAGAUGAAAAGCGCUCAUGCAAUUAGUGAAUGAGGGACUAGGACCAAUUAGAAUACGCACAAGGUGCCAACAAGGGUUAAAGAGAAUGAGGGAUGAUUUGCAGGUUGCAGGGGGAAGAGUACAAACAGGAAGACCUGGUGGGCAAGGGAGGCCUGAAAGGCCUGGGGGCCAUUUCCAAUUACCAAGACAGAGGAGCUGGGCAAACACUUCUAAACCCCUAGAAAGAACAAUGACUCUGCCGCAGGGAAGGGAGGCCCUUUUUAGCAGGGGGGUGGGGGUCAGUAUUUGGAGUUAGAAUUUGGUGGAGUCUUCUGGCAGACGUUUAUUCAACUGAAUCUUGUAAAAUUUAU